rnacentral:lncRNA from 1 species
UUCCCUGUAUCUUAUGGCUCACCAUCUGCAAACGGAAGCGUUCAGCUCCUCUUGGUUCGCGAAUUGGGUAUGUAUAUUUAGCCAACAAAUUAACAAUUGAAACUAAAAUAAUCUAGAUUUUAGCUAUAAAUUCAUUAGUGCUUUGUGGCUUCCAUUACUCUGGUUCAAAGUAACCUUAGUUUCAUUAUUUAUUUUUUAAAAAUAUUUAUUAUUUUCCCAAAUGUGUAUUGAGAUCACCGCAAUUUUACUUUUUCUCCGUGUUGCAGAUUGGAAUUUUUUCCCCCAAAUGUAUGUUAGAUUUAAUUGUUGUUUCUUUCUUUUGGAUUUAUUUUCUUGAUUGAUUAUAUAGGUUUAAGCUUUAUUGAAUUGUUAGUGGUGUUAAUCAAUGAUAAUCUUUUGAUUGGCAGAUGCUAGAGUUGUACCCACCAAUCUCCUAUCAGCCCGUGGAGAGAUUUCUUCUGUUAUAUGAAAACCAACGUCUUUUUUUUUUACCAAACUCUAGAUAUGAUCAUCAGGUUAGAGGAUGAGUUAAUAUUGUUGGGAGUAUAAUAGGGUGUGUUUUUAAGUAUAUCUCAGUAAAUUGUAGAUUGUGUUGAUUUGUUCUUCUGCAGCCCGAGAAAACAUCGAGAACAAUCAAAGAACAGCUUGAAGCUAUAGCUCUUGCUUUGGAAGCAGAAGGAUGACAUGAUAAAUUAAUUAUAUGAUGUUCAAUCUCAGAUACAAAAGAUAUGUGCAGAAAUUCUGAUUUGCGACUGUUGGUAUUCGAUGAGUAGCGGGUUAGCGAAUACUCGACGGGUGGCAGUAUUCGCGGGUGACGGGUGUGGGUGGCAGAGAGUACCCAUCGUGGGUCACGGGUUUGGUGGCGGAUACGGCCUUUGCUCGCGGGUACAAGCAUGGAUAGCCACUAUUCGUGUUCGUUGUACCCGAUUGGUCGACGACGUGGAGACGUCAGGUCUUAUGAAGAUGGGGAGGCGACGAUCGUGAGCAAAAAAGAAAGAGGCAGAGAGAGAUAUGAGAACGAUGAGUG